GAGUCAUUUUUUUUUUUAUUCAUUUAUUUUUUAUUUUGGUUCUUGCCUCCAUAAACAUGUAGCAUCAGAUUUUCAAAUAUAAUACUCUCCUUUUCUCUCUCUAAACAGAAGAAUUUGCACUUACAGGGUUGCAGACAUGUCAUAUACCUGAAACCAGAGAGACCCAGUCCAGACCAGGAUUCAAACCAAGGACCAUCUAGCUACGAGUUGACCCAUCCCACCUUGUGAGUUCUAUUGAAUUCUAUUUUAGGAAUGAUUUGUAAAACACACUAUCACAUGGAAUAAAGUACCAUGUCCUAGCACAUGUAGGAUUUGAAACUAUAACCCCCCCACUUAGAAAAGCAUGCAGGCUUAUAGACAUCCACUACACUAAUAACCCACCCCAACAGAUUGGUCAUCACACGUCCUCCUCUGCAAAACAGAAGCUGGACUGAGGUGACAGAAGAUCAGAAACGUCAGAGAAUAAAGACUGAAACGUGGUUCUGGAAUCCGAUAGCUGGCUGAGCCGAGCUGUAAGAAGAGGGGAGAAAACAAAUCUUGUCUCAGCAGCCGAACCCUGCCUGUAGUUCUUCCACCAUCGCUCGAGUAUGGUAAGCUGCUGCAGCUGGUUACAGUAAUGCAGAAAACAUCAGCAGGUUUUAAGACAUAAGGUGGAAAAUCGGCAAAGUAUCCCUUUAAUACUCACCAAAUGCAUGUUGUGUGUGCAGUGUGAGGCCCAGUCAUUUUUCAUGUAUUACAGUGAUGAUGUGACAGGCCAAUACGUCAUCAUAAAAGCCAUUGAGUGGAAGGCUGAUGGCACAGCAGUGCACAGGGGG